GCCAGUUGGCGCAGAGGUAGCGCGCCGUUCUUAUACUAGUCAUUUGCACUCGUAUGAAUAGUCAUGCGGAUGUCACGGGUUCGAAUCCCGUACGGAGUA